rnacentral:rRNA from 1 species
AUCCAGAGAACUUAGCAGAGAUGCUUUGGUGCCUUCGGGAACUCUGAGACAGGUGCUGCAUGGCUGUCGUCAGCUCGUGUUGUGAAAUGUUGGGUUAAGUCCCGNAACGAGCGCAACCCUUAUCCUUUGUUGCCAGCGGCUCGGCCGGGAACUCAAAGGAGACUGCCGGUGAUAAACCGGAGGAAGGUGGGGAUGACGUCAAGUCAUCAUGGCCCUUACGGCCAGGGCUACACACGUGCUACAAUGGCGCAUACAAAGAGAAGCGACCUCGCGAGAGCAAGCGGACCUCAUAAAGUGCGUCGUAGUCCGGAUUGGAGUCUGCAACUCGACUCCAUGAAGUCGGAAUCGCUAGUAAUCGUAGAUCAGAAUGCUACGGUCGAAUACGUUCCCGGGCCUUGUACACACCGCCCGUCACACCAUGGGAGUGGGUUGCAAAAGAAGUAGGUAGCUUAACCUUCGGGAGGGCGCUUACCACUUUGUGAUUCAUGACUGGGGUGAAGUCGUAACAAGGUAAGCGUACGUGU